AGCGACAAAUUCUUUAUAGAAAUCAAAGGCUCUCAAGUUACAUAGCCACCUUAAUGUUCAUAUCGUGGCUAUUUGGAGCAGCUCAAUCAUUUUUUCUGGCUCAUAAAUUUUCUAUCAUUUUACCGUACCUAAACAUUCUGGCUAAUGUUUCUCACAUCCCUCGUGCAAGGCAGCAAAUUGACAGACGGACCUACAGCUAUGAUUCAAGCAGUUCACCCCUUCUAAACCCAGGUCUCCUCUGUAAUCCUCCCUAGCCUGUGUAAGUGUAAUCUUUGCGCUUGGGCCAAUGACGCAGCUUAUGAGGUCAUACCGAGAGCUGUAUCAAUUGCUGGUUCAAAACUAUUUCCAAACCCCCUCUUCGGCCAUCUGGCCCACUGAGAAUUUCUGGAAGGCUCCUCUUCAGAAAAGGGGAGGCCCUAAAAAAGUUAGUGUAAUGUGUAAUGCAGCUUUAUUGGUCUAUGUUACUCCAACGAUCAACUAGAAAGGCCAUUUGCGAACAAAGCUGUCCGGAUACAGAUUGAUGGGCACAGUGCUCGACUUUCAUUGUGCGACAUGUUGGAGCACAACAAGCCCAGAGCUCGGAUCGUCUCCCUAGAACCCCGGUGAUCGCGGCGAGUUCAAGUUCUAACAGAUGCGAUAAACACGAGAAGACAAAAUUAUGAUGCUGCCCAUCACCGCAGCAUGGU